AUUAAGAAUUAAGUCACGUGAGAUUCACCUCAAGUUCACAUUUCUAAUCUAUUUUCCUUCAAUCUCAAAUGUGGAUAACUAUUAUUGAACCAAACUGAUUUAGACUGUGGCUUGAAUAAUCACCAGUUUGAAUUUUGUUUUGCAGGACAUGAUCAUUGUCUCAGGGUCUGCACUGUAGUUCACCCUUGAAGCAUGACAUUUUUGAAUGCACUAGCUUCUGGUAUGUAUACAUUGGACCUGUUAUUUUGCUCUCAAGACUGAUCCAUUAGGCAGUACUAGUUUCUUCAGGAUUUUAAAAUCAUGAUUUCCUGGCUUAUCACUAACAUAUACUGCACAACCACCUAUUGCUCUUGCCGCAGCAUGAAACUCAGCUGUCACGUGCUUGCUAACCUUGACAUGAAGGUAUAAAUGUUGCUGUUAGGUGUUGGUGCUGUUGUAAACGCAGGUUGUUCAUGAUGCAUGUCCAUUCAAGGUUUAAUUCGUAGAAUAAAUUGCAACAAAGUGUUGCAAAAUUCUGCAAUACUUCAUGACAGGUUGGACAUGGUAAAUGAGAUACCCCCGCUGUUCGGUUCCAAGUCUACUCGUGGAACACUCCAUGAAUGAGCUCAACAUCAGGUCAUGUCGGUUUCUUGUAUCAUGGCCAUGGUCCAAUUCUAAUUCUUCCUUGUGAUUGAAUCGUGGUUCACUGUUUUGCUAGGUAUGAUGAUAGCUCGUUCAACAAGGUGACAACCGUUGGAUUCACCUGAUUCUGCAUACAGGAAACUUUGUCCAUUGAAGCACAUGGCUUGGUUCAUGAUCAGCAACAGGUGUAGGUGCGGUCAUGGGAAUCAUUUGUUCCUGACUUGGCCAAUGCUUCUUUUAUAGCAUAUGGUCAUGAGCUCUGCAGCACGUGUGGGCAUACUAACCUUGCUUGGUUAGUUUCAAGAGCAUGCCUCAUUUGGCUAGAGCAUCCACGUGAGGGAGUAUGGGUAAGGCAUGCAACACGGAUGACACCAAGUUUGGCCUUUUGGAGCAUUAAUGGCACAUGUCAACGACCAAGUAGGAAUUUUUAGAGCUUAGGAAUAGGAUUCAUGGGUAUUUAGGAUUUUAGGAGUUUAGGGAUUGGGUUGACUUUGGUCAGAGUUGACCAAAGUCAACAGUUGGUCAACACACUCAUUCUUUGUAUUUUUCCUGUAAUGAUCAUGUAAUGAAUGAAAUUUCUUCACUUGAAUGAA